CCCCCGGGGCAAGGAGGGGAGGCCAGGCAGCCGGAAGGAAACUCCUGAGCUUUUUACGGAAUGCACAAGACAAAAGCACGCUUGCUUUCCAUUAAGCGGAUCCUUUGUGCUGAAACAGAUUUGCAGUCCUGCCAAACCAGACGAUGCUGCUGGCAGGAAGAUGCACAUGGUCUGAUGUUAAUGCAAGAGUGAGAAAACCUCUGUGGCACAGUCAUGGGAGGUCAGCCCAAAUGUAGAGUUUCCUUCCUUCCUUCCUUCCUCCCUCCCUCCCUCCCUCCCUCCCUUUUUUUACUUUCUGUAAUUCUAAAGUGGCAGGAACGACUUGACUCUUUAGACCAUAUAUUUUUUUCAGAAAUACAUUUCUGAAAAUA
ensembl:lncRNA LINC02026 long intergenic non-protein coding RNA 2026